GCGGGUGUAGCACAAUGGUAGUGCGAUAGCCUUCCAAGCUAUUUACACGGGUUCGAUUCCCGUCACCCGCUCCA
rnacentral:tRNA from 1 species